CGCGAAGAACCUUACCUAAGCUUGACAUCCUUUUGACCUCUCCCUAAUCGGAGAUUUCCCUUCGGGGACAGAAGUGACAGGUGGUGCAUGGUUGUCGUCAGCUCGUGUCGUGAGAUGUUGGGUUAAGUCCCGCAACGAGCGCAACCCUUGUUGUCAGUUGCCAGCAUUAAGUUGGGCACUCUGGCGAGACUGCCGGUGACAAACCGGAGGAAGGUGGGGACGACGUCAAGUCAUCAUGCCCCUUAUGACCUGGGCUACACACGUGCUACAAUGGACGGUACAACGAGUCGCAAACUCGUGAGGGCAAGCUAAUCUCUUAAAGCCGUUCUCAGUUCGGAUUGUAGGCUGCAACUCGCCUACAUGAAGUCGGAAUCGCUAGUAAUCGCGAAUCAGCAUGUCGCGGUGAAUACGUUCCCGGGUCUUGUACACACC
rnacentral:rRNA from 1 species